rnacentral:lncRNA from 1 species
AAAGUUCGUCUUGUGGUGUUUGCAAACUGUCUCUGUGAGGUCCAUUUGCUGUAGUGUAAACACGACUGUGGCAGGGUGCCUGGUGCCUUCGCAGCAGCUAAUCCUGCUCAGCUGAGGGCCGACCACGUGAGGUAAAGCAGCAGGCCGGGUCUGCACGGUGAACCCAACACCAGUCAGCCCUGGGGCUGAGGGCCUUAGCACGAGGCCUUCACUCCUUCUCCACAGAUAACACAGAGCAGCUCUAACUGUAAGACCAGAUUGAACCCCCCACUGUGCUUUGCAUCAGAUUGUGGUCAGCUGUGGAAGGUUGGGUUAAACACCAGGGCUGUAAUCAUGCAAAAAUGGCUGCACCUGGGGCUGCAGCUGGCCUAUGGCUGCCCUCCCUAGUCUUUAAGUCAGGUCAAGGAAGCAGGCCUAGCCCUGGGCAAGGUGGAGUUUCAGCUCCUCUGCUUUGCAAGAGUGGUGUAGGCUGCAAAGUACGUGAAGCUUUCUCACCAAAUACAGCUGAAAAGGCAGGCCAUCACAGUCGUUCUGUGCUGCGAGCCUUUGUGUCCACAUCUCAGAACUGGAUAAGGCUUCCUCCAGGAUUCCUCUGCAGGUCAGUGGUAACACUAACCACUAACUCUGUGUCUCGCAGUGGUUUUGGUACUCGUGACUGGACUAGAGAACUGAAUCAGAUGCUCUAA